UUCUUUUGCUGUUCCAUUUCUAAAGAUAACUGUGUUUGGAGAAGCUGUUACGUGUUUCUGUCACUCCAUAGCACAGGGUGCUGCAGGAGACAGAAUGAAGAGAAGCAGCUGAAGAAAGGAAAGCUGAUCCUCUGGCAAUGGGGAGCAAGAGGGCAUUUGGUUCUGCAGGAUGUUUAACCACAUCUGAAAGCCUCACCAUGGAAGUUCAGGAAGAGGUGAUGUCCCACUGCAGCCAGGUGGAAGGGAGCACCAGGUGCAGAUCUCCUGUGUUCUAAUACUUCAGAAAAAUUGCUGCUUGUCUUCCCUCCCCCACGAGGCUGAGUCCCAGCACCCCAGAUUGUCGUGACUGCCUGGGAUUGGUGACAUCUCCAGUGAAAUGUGUUGGAGCAUCAAAACAGAGUGGGAGAAGCACAGCCUGGCUCUGGGAGCCAAAAAUAGUUUUCCUCUCACUUUGAAUUCUGUCAGUCUCACUUCCCCUGGCACAGGAGGAAAUGUGAUGGUGUUUACAGAGCAGAAGCACUGGGGCUCAGGAGAUGUGGAAGGUGGCCCUGCUGCUCUACCUCCAACAGCUCUCCAUGGUUCUGACCUCCUGUCAGGAUAACCUGCACUAAAACCCCUCUGCCUAUUCCUGUGUGAUCCUACUGUGCCUAACACAAGCUCAGAGAUAACCCCAGUAAUGUAAUCCUGAGCUGACAUCGAUGCAGGCCAUCAGCAAUGUGGAAAUUUCCCUCUGUGAUGAGGGAUGUCAUGGCUGGCACAAGCUCCAGCACUCCAAGGGGGUGAGGCACAUGCUCAGUGUAUUUCAGGAUAAAUUGCAGCUGGUUGCUGGUAAUCCUUGUGGCAUAUCAGAUAGCAGCAUAGCUCGGCAAGGGUAAGCUGGAGAAACCCAAACAUCCUUCUGAGGAGGUAAUUAUUCCAUUGUGAAAAUGCCCCGGGAUAUUUUUAGUGGCCAAACCCCCUGUUUCCUGACAGAAACAUAAAAUAAUGAAGCAAGCUUCACAAGGAGAGACGCCUCAGACACCUGUAUUAGCUGGUGCUUUGCAGUCACGUCAGCGUUUAAUUCACUGUGUGCAUCCCUGUACGGCAGAAUCCACACCUGCGUUUGGGGCACUGAGCACUCUGCCAGCCUCUGCCUCGCACAAAACCCUCUCCAUAAACAAAUCUGCAAAUCCUGCUGGAUCAAGAAGAAUUUCACGGGAAUAUAGAGCUGCCCGCAACAAGAGGGACACCCUUGCCACACACACCGAGGUUACCAAGGGAAACUUUCCUUAACAGGAGUCUCACAACCAGCGUAAAAGCC